rnacentral:rRNA from 1 species
GAUGAACGCUGGCGGCGUGCCUAAUACAUGCGAGUCGAGCGAACAGGCGAGGAGCUUGCUCCUCUGACGUUAGCGGCGGACGGGUGAGUAACACGUGGAUAACCUACCUAUAAGACUGGGAUAACUUCGGGAAACCGGAGCUAAUACCGGAUAAUAUAUUGAACCGCAUGGUUCAAUAGUGAAAGACGGUUUUGCUGUCACUUAUAGAUGGAUCCGCGCCGCAUUAGCUAGUUGGUAAGGUAACGGCUUACCAAGGCAACGAUGCGUAGCCGACCUGAGAGGGUGAUCGGCCACACUGGAACUGAGACACGGUCCAGACUCCUACGGGAGGCAGCAGUAGGGAAUCUUCCGCAAUGGGCGAAAGCCUGACGGAGCAACGCCGCGUGAGUGAUGAAGGUCUUCGGAUCGUAAAACUCUGUUAUUAGGGAAGAACAAAUGUGUAAGUAACUAUGCACGUCUUGACGGUACCUAAUCAGAAAGCCACGGCUAACUACGUG